rnacentral:rRNA from 1 species
AACAAACGCUGGCGGCGUGCCUAAUACAUGCAAGUCGAACGGGGAAAGCUUUCGGGCGAGUACUAGUGGCGCACGGGUGAGGAACACGUGGAUAAUCUGCCUUGGAGAGGGGGAUAACUAGUCGAAAGAUUAGCUAAUACCGCAUAAGACCACAGGAACUGAGGUUCUAGGGGUCAAAGGUUUUUCGCUCCAAGAUGAGUCCGCGUAAGAUUAGCUAGUUGGUGAGGUAAUGGCUCACCAAGGCGACGAUCUUUAACUGGUCUGAGAGGAUGAUCAGUCACACUGGAACGGAGUCACGGUCCAGACUCCUACGGGAGGCAGCAGUAGGGAAUAUUGCACAAUGGAGGAAACUCUGAUGCAGCGACGCCGCGUGAGGGAUGAAGGCCUUCGGGUCGUAAAGCUCUGUCGCAGGGGAAUAAAAAAAUGAAGGUACCCUGCAAGAAAGGAUCGGCUAACUUCGUGCCAGCAGCCGCGGUAA